rnacentral:rRNA from 1 species
GUGGGGAAUAUUGGACAAUGGGGGCAACCCUGAUCCAGCGACGCCGCGUGGGUGAAGAAGGCCUGCGGGUUGUAAAGCCCUUUCGUUGGGGAAGAAAAGUCUCGACCUAAUACGUCGGGACCGUGACGUUACCCAAAGAAGAAGCACCGGCUAACUCUGUGCCAGCAGCCGCGGUAAUACAGAGGGUGCGAGCGUUAAUCGGAAUUACUGGGCGUAAAGCGCACGUAGAUGGCUUUGUAAGUCAGAUGUGAAAUCCCCGGGCUCAACCUGGGAACUGCAUUUGAAACUGCAUUGCUCGAAUGUGGAAGAGGGAAGCGGAAUUCCAGGUGUAGCGGUGAAAUGCGUAGAUAUCUGGAGGAACAUCAGUGGCGAAGGCGGCUUCCUGGUCCAACAUUGACAUUCAGGUGCGAAAGCGUGGGGAGCAAACAGGAUUAGAAACCCCGGUAGUCC